CUACGGGUUGCACCAGUGGGGAAUAUUGCACAAUGGAGGAAACUCUGAUGCAGCAACGCCGCGUGGAGGAUGACACUUUUCGGAGCAUAAACUCCUUUUAUAUAGGAAGAAGAUGACGGUACUAUAUGAAUAAGCGCCGGCUAACUCCGUGCCAGCAGCCGCGGUAAUGCGGAGGGCGCAAGCGUUACUCGGAAUCACUGGGCGUAAAGAGCGUGUAGGCGGAUUAAAAAGUCAGAAGUGAAAUCCUAUAGCUUAACUAUAGAACUGCUUCUGAAACUCUUAAUCUAGAAUAUGGGAGAGGUAGAUGGAAUUUCUGGUGUAGGGGUAAAAUCCGUAGAGAUCAGAAGGAAUACCGAUUGCGAAGGCGAUCUACUAGAACAUUAUUGACGCUGAGACGCGAAAGCGUGGGGAGCAAACAGGAUUAGAUACCCCGGUAGUC
rnacentral:rRNA from 1 species